AAUAUUGGACAAUGGGGGCAACCCUGAUCCAGCCAUGCCGCGUGUGUGAAGAAGGUCUUCGGAUUGUAAAGCACUUUAAGUUGGGAGGAAGGGCAGGAAGUUAAUACUCUGAGGUUUUGACGUUGCCAACAGAAUCAGCACCGGCUAACUCUGUGCCACCCUCCGCGGUAAUACAGAGGGUGCAAGCGUUACUCGGCAUUCCUGGGCGUAAAGAGCGCGUAUGUGGGUCAGUAAGAUGGGUGUGAAAUCCCCGGGCUUAACCUGGGAACUGCUUUCAUAAAUGCUGAGCUAGAGUACGGUAGAGGGUAGUGGAAUUUCCUGUGUAGCGGUGAAAUGAGUAGAUAUAGGAAGGAACACCAGUGGCGAAGGCGACUACCUGGACUGAUACUGACACUGAGGUGCGAAAGCGUGGGGAGCAAAC
rnacentral:rRNA from 1 species